GAUGAACGCUGGCGGCGUGCCUAAUACAUGCAAGUCGAGCGAACAGACGAGGAGCUUGCUCCUCUGACGUUAGCGGCGGACGGGUGAGUAACACGUGGAUAACCUACCUAUAAGACUGGGAUAACUUCGGGAAACCGGAGCUAAUACCGGAUAACAUGUUGAACCGCAUGGUUCAACAGUGAAAGACGGUCUUGCUGUCACUUAUAGAUGGAUCCGCGCCGCAUUAGCUAGUUGGUAAGGUAACGGCUUACCAAGGCAACGAUGCGUAGCCGACCUGAGAGGGUGGUCCGCCACACUGGAACUUAGACCCGGUCCAGACUCCUACGGGAGGCAGCAGUAGGGAAUCUUCCGCAAUGGGCGAAAGCCUGACGGAGCAACGCCGCGUGAGUGAAGAAGGUCUUCGGAUCGUAAAACUCUGUUAUUAGGGAAGAACAAAUGUGUAAGUAACUAUGCACGUCUUGACGGUACCUAAUCAGAAAGCCACGGCUAACUACGUG
rnacentral:rRNA from 1 species